rnacentral:rRNA from 1 species
GACGUAGGGCGCGAGCGUUUGUCCGGAUUUAUUGGGCGUAAAGAGCUCGUAGGCGGCUUGUUGCGUCAGCUGUGAAAAACCCGCAGCUCAACUGUGGGCUUGCAGCUGAUACGGGCAGGCUUGAGUUCGGUAGGGGAGACUGGAAUUCCUGGUGUAGCGGUGAAAUGCGCAGAUAUCAGGAGGAACACCCGGUGGCGAAGGCGGGUCUCUGGGCAACAACUGACGCUGGAGGAGCGAAAGCGUGGGGAGCGAACAGG